GAUGAACGCUGGCGGCGUGCCUAAUACAUGCAAGUCGAGCGAACAGACGAGGAGCUUGCUCCUCUGACGUUAGCGGCGGACGGGUGAGUAACACGUGGAUAACCUACCUAUAAGACUGGGAUAACUUCGGGAAACCGGAGCUAAUACCGGAUAAUAUAUUUAACCGCAUGGUCCAAUAGUGAAAGACGGUUUUGCUGUCACUUAUAGAUUGAUCCGCGCCGCAUUAGCUAGUUGGUAAGGUAACGGCUUACCAAGGCAACGAUGCGUAGCCGACCUGAGAGGGUGAUCGGCCACACUGGAACUGAGACACGGUCCAGACUCCUACGGGAGGCAGCAGUAGGGAAUCUUCCGAAAUGGGCGAAAGCCUGACGGAGCAACGCCGCGUGAGUAAUGAAGGUCUUCGGAUCGUAAAACUCUGUUAUUAGGGAAGAACAAAUGUGUAAGUAACUAUGCACGUCUUGACGGUACCUAAUCAGAAAGCCACGGCUAACUACGUG
rnacentral:rRNA from 1 species